CAGCCCAAGACCAUCCUCCUUGCACCUUUGUGCCAAGAAAGGCCUAUGAAAAAGUGGAUACUGGUUAAAAUUACCCCAGGAAGAUUCGGCUGGGUUCCAGACACAUGGAAAACAGACUUCCUGUGCCAGCGCAUGCUGAUCCCUUCAGCAGCCGCUUCUCCACCCUUGGGGCUGCUCUCCAGCACCUGGCAGUGUCCAGAGCGGAUAGGGGCGCCGUGUUUGGUGAAUGAGUGCACAGAUGCCUCUAGGGGGAGCCCAAGAUCUGCCUCCUGCCUCCCUCUAUUAUGCCUUCAUAGGUGGGUCAGAACAAAGAAUUCCUUAUCAACCUCCCAGGUCCCCCACUGCCAAUCACCCACCCCCAUUCUACCCUCUACAGCUGCCCCUUAUCCCCCAAAGUCCUGAAAUUUUGCUUGGGUCACCUGCUCCAGGAGGCAGAGUUCCCAUGAAGGGUAUUAAACGUCUACUACACUGC
rnacentral:sRNA from 1 species